ACCCUUUAAUGUUUGAUGUUCUAACGUAGCCCCGUUAUCCGGGGUGCGGACAGUGUCUGGUGGGUAGUUUGACUGGGGCGGUCUCCUCCCAAAGAGUAACGGAGGAGCACGAAGGUUGGCUAAGCAUGGUCGGACAUCAUGCGGUUAGUGCAAAGGCAUAAGCCAGCUUGACUGCGAGAGUGACGGCUCGAGCAGGUACGAAAGUAGGUCUUAGUGAUCCGGUGGUUCUGAAUGGAAGGGCCAUCGCUCAACGGAUAAAAGGUACUCCGGGGAUAACAGGCUGAUACCGCCCAAGAGUUCAUAUCGACGGCGGUGUUUGGCACCUCGAUGUCGGCUCAUCACAUCCUGGGGCUGAAGUAGGUCCCAAGGGUACGGCUGUUCGCCGUUUAAAGUGGUACGCGAGCUGGGUUUAGAACGUCGUGAGACAGUUCGGUCCCUAUCUGCCGUGGGCGUUGGAAGAUUGAAAGGGGCUGCUCCUAGUACGAGAGGACCGGAGUGGACGCACCACUGGUGUUCGGGUUGUCAUGCCAAUGGCAUUGCCCGGUAGCUAAGUGCGGAAGAGAUAACCGCUGAAAGCAUCUAAGCGGGAAACUUGCC
rnacentral:rRNA from 1 species